CGCUGGCGGCAGGCCUAACACAUGCAAGUCGAGCGGUAGAGAGAAGCUUGCUUCUCUUGAGAGCGGCGGACGGGUGAGUAAUGCCUAGGAAUCUGCCUGGUAGUGGGGGAUAACGUUCGGAAACGGACGCUAAUACCGCAUACGUCCUACGGGAGAAAGCAGGGGACCUUCGGGCCUUGCGCUAUCAGAUGAGCCUAGGUCGGAUUAGCUAGUUGGUGAGGUAAUGGCUCACCAAGGCGACGAUCCGUAACUGGUCUGAGAGGAUGAUCAGUCACACUGGAACUGAGACACGGUCCAGACUCCUACGGGAGGCAGCAGUGGGGAAUAUUGGACAAUGGGCGAAAGCCUGAUCCAGCCAUGCCGCGUGUGUGAAGAAGGUCUUCGGAUUGUAAAGCACUUUAAGUUGGGAGGAAGGGUUGUAGAUUAAUUCUCUGCAAUUUUGACGUUACCGACAGAAUAAGCACCGGCUAACUCUGUGCCAGCAGCCGCGGUAAUACAGAGGGUGCAAGCGUUAAUCGGAAUUACUGGGCGUAAAGCGCGCGUAGGUGGUUUGUUAAGUUGGAUGUGAAAUCCCCGGGCUCAACCUGGGAACUGCAUUCAAAACUGACUGACUAGAGUAUGGUAGAGGGUGGUGGAAUUUCCUGUGUAGCGGUGAAAUGCGUAGAUAUAGGAAGGAACACCAGUGGCGAAGGCGACCACCUGGACUAAUACUGACACUGAGGUGCGAAAGCGUGGGGAGCAAACAGGAUUAGAUACCCUGGUAGUCC
rnacentral:rRNA from 1 species